GAUGGUGUAGUGGUUAGGAUUCAGCGCUCUCCCCGCUGUAGCCUGGGUUUGAUUCCCGGUAACG